CAGGAGCAGUCUGGUUGAUGAGCAUCCAGAAGAUGCUGAAUUUGAACAGAAGAUCAACCGACUUAUGGCUGCAAAACAGAAACUUAGACAGUUACAAGAUCUUGUUGCUAUGGUACAGGAUGAUGAUGCAGCUCAAGGAGUUAUCUCUGCCAAUGCAUCAAAUUUGGAUGAUUUCUACCCAGCAGAAGAAGACACCAAGCAAAAUUCAAAUAACACUAGAGGAAAUGCCAAUAAAACACAGAAAGAUACUGGAGUAAAUGAAAAGGCAAGAGAGAAAUUUUAUGAGGCUAAACUACAGCAGCAACAGAGAGAGCUAAAACAAUUGCAGGAGGAAAGAAAGAAACUGAUUGACAUUCAGGAGAAAAUUCAAGCAUUGCAAACGGCAUGCCCUGACUUACAGCUGUCAGCUGCUAGUGUGGGUAACUGUCCCACCAAAAAAUAUAUGCCAGCUGUUACUUCAACCCCAACUGUUAAUCAGCAUGAGACCAGUACAAGCAAAUCUGUUUUUGAGCCUGAAGAUUCUUCAAUAGUAGAUAAUGAGGUAUUGUAAAUUGUACUCUCUUGUUCCUGAGUUAGUCUU
rnacentral:sRNA from 1 species